rnacentral:rRNA from 1 species
GUUACUUCGGUACAUCGGUGACAGGUGGUGCAUGGUUGUCGUCAGCUCGUGUCGUGAGAUGUUGGGUUAAGUCCCGCAACGAGCGCAACCCCUAUUGUUAGUUGCCAUCAUUCAGUUGGGCACUCUAGCGAGACUGCCGGUAAUAAACCGGAGGAAGUGGGGAUGACGUCAAAUCAUCAUGCCCCUUAUGACCUGGGCUACACACGUGCUACAAUGGUUGGUACAAAGGGCAGCGACACAGCGAUGUGAAGCCAAUCCCGAAAAGCCGGUCUCAGUCCGGAUUGGAGUCUGCAACUCGACUCCAUGAAGUUGGAAUCGCUAGUAAUCGCGGAUCAGCACGCCGCGGUGAAUACGUUCCCGGGCCUU